rnacentral:pre_miRNA from 1 species
CCUAUACUCCCUCCAUCCGAAAAUAUUUGUCAUAGAAAUUGAUCUAUCUAGGUGUAUUUUAGUUUUUGAUACAUCCAUUUGUAUCCAUUUGUGCGACAAGUAUUUUCAGACGGAGGGGGAUUAUAAU